AGGUAAGGGAAGUCGGCAGAUUAGAUCCGUAACUUCGGGAUAAGGAUUGGUUUUGAAGAUUGAGAUAGUCGGGCUUGAUUGGAAAACAAUAACAUUGUUUAUGUGCUCGUUCUGGGUAAAUAGAGUUUCUAUCAUUUAUGGUAGUUACUUGUUCCCCGGAUAGUUUAGUUACGUAGCCAAUUGUGGAACUUUCUUGCUAAAAUUUUUAAGAAUAUUCAUUGGGUUAAACCAGUUAGUUCUUAUUAAUUAUAACGAUUAUCAAUUAACAAUAAAUUCAGAACUGGCACGGACUUGGAAAUCCCACUGUCUAAUUAAAACAAAGCAUUGCGAUGGCCCUAGCGGGUGUUGACACAAUGUGAUUUCUGCCCAGUGCUCUGAAUGUCAAAGUGAAGAAAUUCAAGUAAGCGCGGGUCAACGGCGGGAGUUACUAUGACCCUCUUAAGGAAGAUAUGGAUCUGAAUAAUAGCGUAGAAGGGAAUUUAUUCCGUAAUU
rfam:Drosophila persimilis strain MSH-3 cont1.011153, whole genome shotgun sequence.